rnacentral:lncRNA from 1 species
AUAUCUUUCUCUCUCUCUCUCUCUCUAAACCUUUGAAAAAUGAAAGAAUUGAAGUUUAGAGAGGAAGGGAAGGGGGAGGGAAAUUUAUACAAUUUUAGAACCAUUGGAUUCGCGUCAAGUAGCAAAAUGCAGUGAAGAGAGACGAGAAAAAGAUGUUCGGCACGAAAAAUGAGGGAGGAUUUCCUACUCCACCGGCGGCGGUGGUGCGUUGC